rnacentral:rRNA from 1 species
GACGAACGCUGGCGGCGUGCUUAACACAUGCAAGUCGGACGGUUGGCACUGGAAGGUUCGCUGGAAGGUGCUGAUAGUGGCGGACGGGUGAGUAACGAGUGAGGACAUGUCUGCAGGAGGGGGAUAACGUUUGGAAACGGACGCUAAGACCCCGUAAGCCGGGAGGUGAAAGUGGCGAAAGCCAGCCUGUGGAGUGACUCGCGUCCUAUCAGCUAGUUGGCGGGGUGAAGGCCCACCAAGGCGAUGACGGGUAGCCGACCUGAGAGGGUGGCCGGCCACACUGGAACUGAGAUACGGUCCAGACUCCUACGGGAGGCAGCAGUGGGGAAUAUUGGGCAAUGGGCGGAAGCCUGACCCAGCGACGCCGCGUGGGGGAAGAAGUCUUUCGGGAUGUAAAUCCUUGUUGUACGGGACGAAGGAAGUGACGGUACCGUACGAGGAAGCCCCGGCAAACUACGUGCCAGCCGCCGCGGUAAAAC